AGUAAUAUGUCUGAUAAAAGUAAUAAAUUGUAAAUUUAUUUAUAGAAUUUAAAUUCUUGUUACUA
rnacentral:tRNA from 1 species